AUUGAACGCUGGCGGCAGGCCUAACACAUGCAAGUCGGACGGUAGCACAGAGGAGCUUGCUCCUUGGGUGACGAGUGGCGGACGGGUGAGUAAUGUCUGGGGAUCUGCCCGAUAGAGGGGGAUAACCACUGGAAACGGUGGCUAAUACCGCAUAACGUCGCAAGACCAAAGAGGGGGACCUUCGGGCCUCUCACUAUCGGAUGAACCCAGAUGGGAUUAGCUAGUAGGCGGGGUAAUGGCCCACCUAGGCGACGAUCCCUAGCUGGUCUGAGAGGAUGACCAGCCACACUGGAGCUGAGACACGGUCCAGACUCCUACGGGAGGCAGCAGUGGGGAAUAUUGCACAACAGGCGCAAGCCUGAUGCAGCCAUGCCGCGUGUAUGAAGAAGGCCUUUGGGUUGUAAAGUACUUUCAGCGGGGAGGAAGGCGGUGAGAUUAAUAACCUCGCCGAUUGACGUUACCCGCAGAAGAAGCACCGGCUAACUCCGUGCCAGCUGCCGCUGUAA
rnacentral:rRNA from 1 species